rnacentral:miRNA from 6 species
UGUAACAGCAUCUCCAUAUGGA